UACUACAAGCCUACUAUAGUUUCAACGCAUGAACAACUACGUCAGUAUUAAUCAUUUAACUACAUUCUCUUUUUAUGAAGAAAAAGAAAAACAACAACGAUAGAAACUCCGAUUUUUAUAAUUUUUGUGUGCAGUAACUUAUAGUUCGUGUAAGAAUAUAUCUCGUUAAAACUCAUCAGAGUGAUCAUCUUAUUUUCCAAGUCAAAUACCGGAUAGAUUAAACUACGAAUUUAUUAUCUAGAAAUGAAUACUUCCAACAACAUUAAUUCCGCAACUUGCAUGACCUUCCAAUCGACAAGCCCGAAGGAGCUUGAUCUUUUUUAAACUGGAUAACGCUGAAGACAAGCAAAUGGUGGGGUUGGUAAAGGCUAUAAUGAGGUCCCCAGAUGAGAAUAAAGUUUUCAAGGCACAACAGGUAAUAGGUAAUAUGAUCCGGAGUAUUAUCAACGAUGGAAAACCUUUGGAAAGGAUAUCAUCACUAAAAGAUUUUUUGUACAAACUCGACAGCCUAUUGAAUAAGAUUGGGCCCCUGGAGCAGGUUAUUAUUGAAUUGGAAAGCAAACUUAAUCUCUGGGGUAAUGAAGUUCUCAAUAUAGGGACAACAUUUUAGAAAUGAAGUAGACGAAGAGAUUUGGAAUACAACAAGAAAGUGAAAAUAGUAUUAUGAUAUCGAGACCUGUUACGGGAGCUUAGAUUGGAGAAACGAAAACAAAUGGAGGCGUAUAUAACAAGAAAACAACUUUUCACUGGCAAGGAACCAAUGGAAAGGAAUGCAAUAUCUCCACCAGUACCCUCAACAUCUAGGACCCCGAAGAAAACUUGUAUUCUUCACCCCCAUUCUUCUCACACAACAUCAGAGUGUAGGGUGAUUCAAGAACAAUUAGCGAAAGAAAAAGAAUCACCGAGACCCCCAGUGCAUCAAAGAAAAUCGAACAAUGAAAGAAAAGGUACAAGAUGGAAUGUGAAUGCCCUAAAGACCGUCAAAAAAACUAAUUAAUUAAUUUAAUUUUUCUCAAACUCAUAUUUAUAUCAUUUUAUUCUUGAGGACAGAAAUCAUAGGAAUGGAUAUAAGUAUUGAGUAGUUAUGUGAAAGCGUGCUCAUGAAAAACGGAGGGUAACACUGAAGAUUUCUUGGAGAGUUAUUUCUUAUAUUAUAGCAUUAUCAUCGAUGAAAAUACAUCAUUGACUACCUGGAUUAAGGAAUUAAUUGACAUGACAUCAAUAAAUCAAUUGACGAUCUGGAUAUUGGAAUUCCCCAUAUCAAACUCAAUUACCUACACAUGCAACUUAAUUGAUAUGGCAUUGAGAACAGAAUAUUGGAAUUCCCCACAUCCUAUAAAAUAAUAAUUGAUACAUUUUUUGAUACUAUAUAUACUCUGAUUUACAUAUAGAUAUAUAUGUAAAUUAGUAAAUCUACGUGUAUACAAAAUAUGUUCUUAAUAAACGUUCCUUAUUAAAACUUAAAAGUUUAGUUCAACUUCAUUUCACUUUGUCCGAAAUCUUCUUAAUUAAGUUUUAUGGGGACUCUUCUUUCAGGCAAUGAGGAAGUAGUUGCUUUACUGAGCAUUAAGGGAACAUCCUAAUAUCCCAAAAUAAACCGUGGCUCUAAGGCUGUACAGGUACCAAGGAACCUUUCUAAAAUACUUUAAUAUAUUUCAGCUCACGGGUUGUGGAGACGAAUAGCUGGGCCUGAGUAAAAUUAAAUUUAACCACCACAGCUUGCCUGAGCAUCAGAGAAACCUCCUAAUAUCCCAAAAUACACCCCGGCUCUCAGGUUGUACAGGUGAAGUGCUGGGCCAAAAUACAGUUUAGACCACACAGCCACCAUUUUUCUAGGUACCAAGGAACCUUUCUAAUAUUCUAUAAUAUAUUUCAGCCCACGGGUUGUACAGGUGAAUAGCUGGGCCCGAGUCAAAUUAAAUUUCUCCGCCACAGCUUCCCUGAGCAUCAGAGAAACCUCCUAAUAUCCCAAAAUACACUCCGGCUCUCAGGUUGUACAGGUGAAGUGCUGGGCCAAAAUAUGGUUUAAACUCUACACCUUGAGCAUCUAAGAACCCUUCCAAUAUCAGAAAUACACCACGGCCU
rnacentral:lncRNA from 1 species